CCUACGGGAGGCAGCAGUGGGGAAUAUUGCGCAAUGGGCGAAAGCCUGACGCAGCGACGCCGCGUGAGGGAUGAAGGUCUUCGGAUCGUAAACCUCUGUCAGCAGGGAAGAACGGUCACUGUGCUAAUCAGCAGUGAAUUGACGGUACCUGCAAAGGAAGCACCGGCUAACUCCGUGCCAGCAGCCGCGGUAAUACGGAGGGUGCGAGCGUUAAUCGGAAUUACUGGGCGUAAAGCGCUCGUAGGCGGUAUGUCAAGUCAAGGGUGAAAUCCCCGCGCUCAACGUGGGAACUGCCUUUGAAACUGGCAAACUGGAGUGUGUGAGAGGAUGGUGGAAUUCCAGGUGUAGGAGUGAAAUGCGUAGAUAUCUGGAAGAACAUCAGUGGCGAAGGCGACUAUCUGGCACAUAACUGACGCUGAGGAGCGAAAGCGUGGGUAGCAAACAGGAUUAGAUACCCCUGUAGUC
rnacentral:rRNA from 1 species